CCUACGGGGGGCUGCAGUGGGGAAUAUUGGACAAUGGGCGAAAGCCUGAUCCAGCCAUGCCGCGUGUGUGAAGAAGGCCUUCGGGUUGUAAAGCACUUUCAGUGGGGAAGAAAGCCUUGGGGCUAAUACCCUCGAGGAAGGACAUCACCCACAGAAGAAGCACCGGCUAACUCCGUGCCAGCAGCCGCGGUAAUACGGAGGGUGCGAGCGUUAAUCGGAAUUACUGGGCGUAAAGCGCGCGUAUGCGGUCUGAUAAGCCGGUUGUGAAAGCCCCGGGCUCAACCUGGGAACGGCAUCCGGAACUGUCAGGCUAGAGUGCAGGAGAGGAAGGUAGAAUUCCCGGUGUAGCGGUGAAAUGCGUAGAGAUCGGGAGGAAUACCAGUGGCGAAGGCGGCCUUCUGGACUGACACUGACGCUGAGGUGCGAAAGCGUGGGUAGCAAACAGGAUUAGAUACCCCGGUAGUC
rnacentral:rRNA from 1 species